AGGCCUAACACAUGCAAGUCGAGGGGUAGCAGGAUGUAGUAAUACAUUGCUGACGACCGGCGCACGGGUGAGUAACACGUAUGCAACCUACCUUCUACAGGGNGAAUAGCCCGGAGAAAUUCGGAUUAAUACCCCAUAACGCAGGGUAUACCGCAUGGUAAUAUUUGCUAAAGAUUAAUCGGUAGAAGAUGGGCAUGCGUUCCAUUAGCCAGUUGGUGAGGUAACGGCUCACCAAAGCUACGAUGGAUAGGGGAACUGAGAGGUUUAUCCCCCACACUGGAACUGAGACACGGUCCAGACUCCUACGGGAGGCAGCAGUGAGGAAUAUUGGUCAAUGGACGAGAGUCUGAACCAGCCAAGUCGCGUGAAGGAUGACGGCCCUACGGGAUGUAAACUUCUUUUGUAUGGGAGUAAAAAGAUGGACGUGUCCAUUAUUGCAAGUACCAUACGAAUAAGCAUCGGCUAACUCCGACUCAAAGGAAUUGACGGGGGCCCGCACAAGCGGAGGAACAUGUGGUUUAAUUCGAUGAUACGCGAGGAACCUUACCCGGGCUUGAAAUGCAUCUGACCGCUUAAGAAAUUAGGCUUCUAGCAAUAGCAGAUGUGUAGGUGCUGCAUGGUUGUCGUCAGCUCGUGCCGUGAGGUGUCGGCUUAAGUGCCAUAACGAGCGCAACCCACAUUGUUAGUUACUAACAGGUCAAGCUGAGGACUCUGACAAGACUGCCAGCGUAAGCUGUGAGGAAGGUGUGGAUGACGUCAAAUCAGCACGGCCCUUACGUCCGGGGCGACACACGUGUUACAAUGGAUGGUACAGAGGGUCGCUACCUAGUGAUAGGAUGCCAAUCUCGAAAGCCAUUCCCAGUUCGGAUUGGAGUCUGCAACUCGACUCCAUGAAGCUGGAUUCGCUAGUAAUCGCGCAUCAGCCAUGGCGCGGUGAAUACGUUCCCGGGCCUUGUACACACCGCCCGUCAAGCCAUGGAAGACUGGGGGUACCUGAAGUACGUAACCGNCAAGGAGCGUCCUAGGGU
rnacentral:rRNA from 1 species